rnacentral:tRNA from 3 species
GGAGAGGUCGCAUAGAGGUCUAGUGCGCUCGCUUGGAAAGCGAGUAUACCGCAAGGUAUCGGAGGUUCGAAUCCUCUCCUCUCCGCCA